CCCCACUCCUAGCCUUUUGCUUGUCCUCAAGCAAAUAAACUUAGUCAAAUAAGCUCUCUUUGCUACUUGAUCCUUUAUUUCCACUUAAGCUCUUACUCUAGAUCCCUACUUUGAAGUAUUGCAGUGAAGAAUGUAUGCACCAAGGUUACUCACCUUCUUUCCUUGCCUCCCUUUACCUUCCAUGGCUAGUAUUUGUUUUCUUCAAGAGAGAGAUUAUAUAUGCACAUAUUCUUGUUCAGUUAAAACUUUUCCUAGCUUUCGGAGUGACUUGCCCUUACUUGAAGCACAUUAUUCAGCCUUUUGCACUUUAAUCUUGCUUGAAAAGUCACUAACCUUUUGACGUGAAGGUACAUAUUUGUGAUACCCACCCCCAGUUACUCAGUUGGUCACCUGUCCAAGUGGCUACUAGCUCUAUUCAUAAUCUUUUGACCAUUGGAACAGUUUUUCAUUUGUGCUUUUGAAGUCCUUGUCUUUGCUGAAUUUCUUUCUCAAUGAAUUGGGCAAAUCAACACCAAUUGCUAAAAUAAGCCAUGUUCAGUUAUUCACACAUCUUUCAAUUUAUUCUCUCUAAUGAGUAAUAUAUAUUUUUCACCAUGGAAAGCCCAUGGAAAACUCAAAGAUUCAAUUCAAAAGGAAAUUUCCAACAAUGAAUACAACUCACUACAAUUGAUUCAACUUAGAUUUAAAGAGUCACCACAUCAAUGGGGUCAUGGAAAGAAAGCUCAUCCAACAUAGCCUAUGUGUUUGAGUAAAGCAUAUCAAAAUAGAAAAAAGAAAAAAUUGUGGCUACAUGUGUGUGCAUUGAAAGCAAAAAUAACAAAAAUGAAAAAUGUGUGCAAACUAAAAAAAAUCAAAGCUAAAAUGGACUUAAAAUAAAAAUUCAGAGAUAUAUGCACCCCCACACCUAAUUCAUGUAUUAUCCUCAAUGUAUUGGAAAUAUUAAAGUUCAAAGAAAACUGAGUACUCCCCUGUUGUGGUUGUGAGGUGCGAUUCACUCGGCAAGUUGCCUCCGCUGGGUUGCCUCCCAGUAGCGCCUUGGUUUAAGGUCACGAGCUAGACCUUCUCCACUUGAUCAAGGCUCAAGUAAUUGGGGGAGGAAAAAGGGUCCCAACUGAAUUAAGUAAAAAGUGUAGCACGCCUUUUAUUUUGGUCAUAACCCAUCCUAUUUCUUUCAUAUACUCAUGAAGUAACAUAAUUAGCUUCUCCUCUUUCAGGUGAGGUGUGCCUCUAGCCCUUAUGUUUGCAUUUUUGAGAUGAUUGGGUAGCACUUCGAACUCCAAUUCAUAUUUCUCCAUAGGUGGCUGCAAUUUGGUACUGAAUUCGAGCAAAACAAAUUCUACCUUAUCCGGUGGUUUGAGCAGGCAGUGUUCCGCAUGCUCCUUUGGUUUGGGCGAUCUGGAUUCUGCUUGCUCCUUUUGUGCAUGGCCUGUCUGCAAAAUGAGCUGAAGAGGUGCGGGUGGACCUUUGUCUUUCUGCGUUUGGUCGCAGUCCAUCUGCUGAAUGCAACAGACUUUUGCUUUCAGUUUUGGCUCUUUUUGGCUCCCUUCAUCUUUUUGGCUAGCUUCUCUGCAAAAAUCAUUGUUUAGCAUAUCAUCUUGAUUCAUAUCACAAACUUCUUGGCUCAAACAAUCAAUGAUAUCUAAACCAUAAACUAGUUCUGUUUGACCAGUUUGUUUGGACAAAUAGUUUUCUGGCUGUUUUUCUUCAGCAGCUUGUCCUUGUACUUGCAAACUUCCAUCAUCAGCCUUGACAUCUUCAAGCUUUUUCUCA
rnacentral:lncRNA from 1 species